GAUGAACGCUGGCGGCGUGCUUAACACAUGCAAGUCGAACGGAAAGGCCCAAGCUUGCUUGGGUGCUCGAGUGGCGAACGGGUGAGUAACACGUGGGUGAUCUGCCCUGCACUUUGGGAUAAGCCUGGGAAACUGGGUCUAAUACCGGAUAGGACCAUCGUUUAGUGUCGGUGGUGGAAAGUUUUUCGGUGUGGGAUGAGCUCGCGGCCUAUCAGCUUGUUGGUGGGGUAAUGGCCUACCAAGGCGUCGACGGGUAGCCGGCCUGAGAGGGUGUACGGCCACAUUGGGACUGAGAUACGGCCCAGACUCCGACGGGAGGCAGCAGUGGGGAAUAUUGCACAAUGGGCGCAAGCCUGAUGCAGCGACGCCGCGUGGGGGAUGACGGACUUCGGGUUGUAAACUCCUUUCGCCAAGGACGAAGCGUUUUGUGACGGUACUUGGAGAAGAAGCACCGGCUAACUACGUG
rnacentral:rRNA from 1 species